GCAGUUCAGGUGCAGCUCACCCGUUCGGAGAAAUCAGCGCGCGACGUUCUUCGUCGGCUCGGCCAAAGCAGACUAAAAGGAGGGAGAAGGAAAUUAAAUAUUUCCCUUUGUGCCAUGGGCCAUAAUCGGAGACUGGAGGAGCUCUGUGCCUG